GACGAACGCUGGCGGCGUGCUUAACACAUGCAAGUCGAGCGGUAAGGCCCUUUCGGGGGUACACGAGCGGCGAACGGGUGAGUAACACGUGGGUGACCUGCCCUCAGCUCUGGGAUAAGCCUGGGGAAACUGGGUCUAAUACUGGAUAUGACUCCACGGUGCAUGUCGUGGGGUGGAAAGCCUUGUGCGGCUGAGGAUGGGCCCGCGGCCUAUCAGCUUGUUGGUGGGGNGAUGGCCUACCAAGGCGACGACGGGUAGCCGGCCUGAGAGGGCGACCGGCCACACUGGGACUGAGACACGGCCCAGACUCCUACGGGAGGCAGCAGUGGGGAANCUUGCGCAAUGGGCGAAAGCCUGACGCAGCGACGCCGCGUGAGGGAUGACGGCCU
rnacentral:rRNA from 1 species